rnacentral:rRNA from 1 species
CUACGUGCCAGCAGCCGCGGUAAUACGUAGGUCCCGAGCGUUAUCCGGAUUUAUUGGGCGUAAAGCGAGCGCAGGCGGUUAGAUAAGUCUGAAGUUAAAGGCUGUGGCUUAACCAUAGUACGCUUUGGAAACUGUUUAACUUGAGUGCAGGAGGGGAGAGUGGAAUUCCAUGUGUAGCGGUGAAAUGCGUAGAUAUAUGGAGGAACACCAGUGGCGAAGGCGGCUCUCUGGUCUGUAACUGACGCUGAGGCUCGAAAGCGUGGGGAGCAAACAGGAUUAGGUACCCUGGUAGUCCACGCCGUAAACGAUGAGUGCUAAGUGUUGGAGGGGUUCCACCCUUCAGUGCUGGAGUUAACGCAAUAAGCACUCCGCCUGGGGAGUACGGCCGCAAGGCUGAAACUCAAAGGAAUUGACGGGGGCCCGCACAAGCGGUGGAGCAUGUGGUUUAAUUCGAAGCAACGCGAAGAACCUUACCAGGUC